GCAUAUCAAUAAGCGGAGGAAAAGAAACUAACAAGGAUUCCCCUAGUAACUGCGAGUGAAGCGGGAAAAGCUCAAAUUUAAAAUCUGGUAGUCUUUGGCUAUCCGAGUUGUAAUCUAGAGAAGCAUCAUCCGUGCUGGACCGUGUACAAGUCUCCUGGAAUGGAGCGUCAUAGAGGGUGAGAAUCCCGUCUUUGACACGGACUCCCAGGACAUUGUGAUGUGCUUUCAAAGAGUCGAGUUGUUUGGGAAUGCAGCUCUAAAUGGGUGGUAAAUUCCAUCUAAAGCUAAAUAUUGGCGAGAGACCGAUAGCGAACAAGUACCGUGAGGGAAAGAUGAAAAGAACUUUGGAAAGAGAGUUAAACAGUACGUGAAAUUGUUGAAAGGGAAACGCUUGAAGUCAGUCGCAUUGGCCAAGGAUCAGCCUUGCUUUUUGCUUGGCGUAUUUCUUGGUUGAUGGGUCAGCAUCAAUUUUGACCAAUGGAAAAAGGUCAGAGGAAUGUGGCAUCUUCGGAUGUGUUAUAGCCUCUGACCACAUGCAUUGGUUGGGAUUGAGGAACUCAGCACGCCGCAAGGCCGGGUUUUAACCACGUCCGUGCUUAGGAUGCUGGCAUAAUGGCUUUAAUCGACCCGUCUUGAAACACGGACCA
rnacentral:rRNA from 1 species